UUUGCAACAGUCAUUUCGUCAAACAUGUCGGCAACCGAUAAGGCUCUCAACUCUUGAGCUCUGUACCCUGAUGUUGAGGGGGCAACAGCUGGCUUUAUAAUGACAAUAUGAAGACCUGUAUGUUCAGCUCAUUAUAAUGUCGACAUCAGGGGCGUUAAGAGAAGAUAUGAGAUCCCUUUGGAGUUCUUUAAAGGCGGGAAGACAGGGAGCUUCAUGUCCUUUUGGCCUGGAUGUUUCUCUAGCUAUGCCUCGGACAAUCCUGAAAAUGGGAUGCAAACAGUUCUCAGAGUCAGAGACAAAGGGCUACAGUUUCUCAGUGUGGGCGCUUACAGUGUGGAUCACACAUAUGUUUUAAACAGGUGGAGUUGAGUCAAAUGCUUCCAUUCCAAAACUGCUGCAACAGAACAAUGAACUCUAGACAUAUGUAAAAUACAAGAGUUGUAAUUAUUUUGUACCUGAACUUAGUAUUAAUUAGCAUUUUAGUGUGUAUAAUUACACUUCUGCUUUGCAGUUUUAGCAUACAGGAUUAUGCUUGACUCGUGCAUCUUUAAGAGGUGAUCAGUGCCUUGUUUCAAUAGAAGCUCCACAAUAUCUUCUGAAUUCACUUAACUCCAUAUAUGAGGAUUGUUCUUGAAUGACAGAAAAAAAUAUUAAAUGAUUUCAACUGUUAAGUGAAUACAUUUUAUGUGCUAAAUGACUACCAAUGUGUGUAGAGUUGUCAUCUAUUAACAGACUUAGGUAUCUUAAAAGCACAGAGUUCAAAUGUGUAAAUUAUCUUCAAUGCUAAAAAGACAAAAGAAACAAAAAACUCUUUGGCCCACUGUUGUACUUUACAUAGUAGAGUUCUAUUUGAAUUUGUUUAUGCUGAAUAACUGUGGAGACCAUUUACAAGAAGGAUAGAAAGAUUUAUGUGAAGAAUGCCAUUUUCUUUCAAGUCUAAUGUAAUAUAAUUCACUGUCGACUAAGGAAUUUCUGUUUGCCUACAACAAAAGUAGUAAUGUUAUAAAAUAAUGUUGGUGGUAAAAAAAAUACAUAGUGCUUUCAGUUACUGAUGCUAAUAGACAUUGAACUGCAUGCCACGUGAGUAAGUUUACAAUGGCCAUUCAAGUAGUGUUUCUGUCUCUGCGUUCCACAAAAACACAUUUGGACAUUAAAGAGUUGCAUGACUGAAAACUUGAAAACUUUGGAACUAACACUGUCUUGCUGUCUUGGGUAACUAAGGCCUCUCUACCACCCACCACCAUAUUUUAGGUAAAGUUUUUUUUUUAUUGCUUAUCGCAGGUAUGAAUGUUUGUCCCACAAGUUAUUGAAUAUUUGGCAGUGAAGUUUCCUUUCACAGAGAGCUGAUGGGUGCAAAUGCAUUCUGUAAGGAUAUCAAUGAAUAAUUCACAAUUCAACAUACUGAACUGGAAAUCAGAUAGCUAGCCCCAUGAACAUGAUGUUUACCACAGACUAGAGAACAGUCGUUUUUUUUUUCCUUCUCAGCCUUGUAAUGGUCCAGCCCUGCCUGCUGCUGUCAUAAGACUUCUAGUCCUCUCCAAAAUGGAUGUGAAACAUUUUGGUCUCAUAAGCUUUUGCUUCCUGUCACAGCAUUAUCAUGGCAUUUUGGAGUCAUGUUACUGUUCCCUUCUAAUGAAAAUUUCUGGAGAGUUUAUCUCAAGAGGCCCAACCAACACAGCAGUAAUAAAGAUUUUCGAUCCUUUGUUACAUGGAUAAGUAAAAUUUUCUUCUCUCUGUCAGAAGUUCUUCCACAUUGCAAAAAACAUUUGUGUGCCAAAUGCACCAUUUCCCAAAAGAAAAAUUCUACUAAGAAUUGUGACAAAAUUGUGAAAUUUCCUGAAGCUCACUGUGUAGACCAGUCUUGCCUCGAGAUCCUCCUACUGACUCCAGAAUGCUGAGAUUAAAGGUGUCCUGCCUUCGAAAGUAUUUUCUAAAGUACCCUUGCACAAAUCUUCUGAGGGGAAAACAAUGGUAACAUUUAAGAGACACGGUUAUCAGAGACUAGAGAUGACAUGGAAGUUUCUUGAGGACACGGAGGAAGCUUUGCUUGAUUCUGUGUUGAGGAAGGACCCAGGGAAACAGUGUCAGGUUCCUGCUCCAAACAGGAAUUUCACCAAAGAAAUGGAUUCAAAGUGAGUGAGACCUCAGGGAAACUUUGAUUGCUUACCUUAAAAUAGAUUCUGUCCAUUUAUAAGGUGAAAGCUGUCUAAGAAUUUAGAAAGCUCAAUACAUGAUUUUUAAAACUUUUUAAACUGUUUUAUAAGUUCUUGCAUGAGUACUAUAUUUACAUAAUUUCUACCCCAUCACUUCUUCAACUCCUCCUUUGUCCCAUUCCCUCUCAAACUCAUGACCUCUUCUUUAUUACUGUCACACACACUUGUGUAUCUCAAAAGGUUGUACAACCUACUUAUUCCAUUUUAUACUGCUCCUCUCUGUGUAUUGCCGUUCAUUUCUGCCUGUGUGCAUGCCUGCAUGCGUGCAUGUGUGUGUUUAUGUCUCAACAUUGGGAUUGGAUAACCUAUCAGAGUUUUUCCUUGAAGAAAAAUAAACUCUUCUCUCAUCAACCAUGCAUAGUGGGCAACUCUUCAUUUAUGGGUGGAGCUUGUAUAGUUUCUCCUGUCAGUGUUUACAUUAAGGAUGUCUGAAGACUAACUCUCAUAGAAAGUGAGAGGGUACUAUGCGAGUUGCCCAGUGAGUAAAUUAAUCUUCAGACAUCCUAAAUUUACAUCAAAAGUACCAGAAAUAAGAGUAGUAGUCUCAAACACUUGCACAGCGAGGCAGGUGCACUGAAGAGCUACUGCUGUGGUUUGCUAACAGGUGGCACUUGGGUGUUGUAUCAUGGAAGGACUGUCUGCUAACAGGUGGCACUUGGGUGUUGUGUCAUAAAAGAGCUGUCUGCUAACAGGUGGCACUUGGGUGUUGUGUCAUGGAAGGGCUGUCUGCUAACAGGUGGCACUUGGGUGUUGUGUCAUAAAAGGGCUGUCUGCUAACAGGUGGCACUUGGGUGUUGUAUCAUGGAAGGGCUGUCUGCUAACAGGUGGCACUGUGGUUGGACUACAAUCUCUAAGGUUCCUUUUCGUGCUUCUGUGCCUGUCACUUGCUAAGUCUGUCCACUAUGAUAAACACUAAUGCCUCUGGAACUGGGAGCUCAAAUCCACUCUUGCUUCUGUAAGAUGCUUUCUGGCCAUAGUGUUUUAUCACAGAAAUAGAAAAUUAACUAGUACAAUCUCUGAAUAAUAUUCCAGAUAUCUUGAAAGGUGUGGUCAUUACUUUGAAUUUGUUAGUGUCGAAUUCUAAUACAUACACCUUACUUUCAAGUUCUGCUAUUCUACUGCUUGAUUUUGUCUACUGCUGAUGCUACAGAAUUACUAUGCUUAGUGUAUAGGGUUUCCAUGGAAACUAAUGCACUAGUUUUGACACUCUUUCUCCUGAAUUUCACUGAAGUGAUUGAUGUUUUAUUUCUAAUUACUUCUAAUUAUUUUAUUUCUAAUUAUUUCCUGGAAUAACAGGAAGUGGUGACCACUUGAUGUGGGUGCUAGGAACUGAACUUUAGUUCUAAUGAAGAGCAAGAAGCGUUUUAACUGCCCACUCUCUCCAUUUCGGAAGUUACAGACAUUUCAACUGCAUGUUACUAUGUUGAAUAAAUAUAAAUUACAUCACCUCACCCUUUUCUUUUUUUCCUUGCUCCCCUCUAAUGACCACGCCCUCCUAAUUACUCCAGCACCUUUCAUUUCUUCUCAAACUGAUAGCCUCUUUUUAAAAUUAUUGCCAUGCCCACCCCACACCCCCUACAGAAAUAGAUAAAUGCAACCUGCUGAGUGGUGUCAUGUUGCUUGUGUGUAUAUGUCCCACAUUUUCAUUAUCCGUUUAUUGUCUGAAGGACAUUAAGGUUGUUUCCACUUCCUAACUAUUAUGGAUAGAGCAAUGGGCAUGACUGAGAAGGCAUGGAUAAGAAGGUCUGAGUAGGAAGUCACAGGAAGUUCACUGGGCUAGAGCCUGGAGAAAGAAGUGGGAGGGCCGGCUAGGUGCAGUGUGUAAUUACAAUGUGUUGCAUAACUAAUUAGGGCAUUUAGCCAUAGAAGAGAUUAAUUCUCCCUAUUUCAGUACUCAUUAACUAUAUAUUGUUCUUUUUAAUUAUGCUUUUACAUCUUUAAAAACAUUUAUUCUUAAAAUGGUAAUAUUUUUGUUAACAUUUAAAACAGUAUUUUUAAAAUUCCAUACAAAAUAUUUGAAUCCUAUUUUUUCCUUCCUCCAAUUCAUCCUGGAUCGUCCCUUCUGCCUGACUUGCUGAAGUUUGUUUUCCCUUCGCUCUCUGUCUUUAAAAUUAUUUCACAAAAUUAAUAUAUAAACAACCAAAAACAAAAAAUUCCCUCUAACAAACAUACAUAUAAAAUCCGUGGAAUUUAUUUGGUGUUGCCCAACUACAGUUGAACAGUGACACUCUAUUAGAGAAAACAGAUUUUUCCUUUGAUGGUGGGUAUAAAUUGCAGGUAGUUUCCAGGUUAGGGAUGAGAACCUGUGUCCACUCGACCAGCUCUGUGCUGGAGCCCUAUUUUGCUUGGAGCUGUGCACAUUUUGUGUGUUCUGUCACAGAUUUUGAGUUCAUUUGUUCAUCAGUCCCAUUGUGCUUAAAAGACACUUUCUGUCUUUCGUUUCAUGACAGAACCUUUUAUAUGCUAAAAUUUUGUCAUGAUUAAAUAUAGUCUCUUUUGUAUGCCAGGACUGUCUAUUCCCAUUGUAGGAUAUUUAACAUGUGAAUAUGUGCUAUCUAGAGAUUUUCACACUGUGAAUGAGUUAUUACCACAUUGAUCAUAUGCAGUUAUAUAUGAUGGGUAAGGAAACGAAAUGUUGUUUUCCAUGACUGAAGUUUGUAUAUGAUGCAUUCUGCAUUCUGCACCUAUAAUGUGGAGACCAUAGUAAAAGGGCACACUUACUAUUGCAUGUCUAAAUCUUAUGGUAUUGUGGACAAGAAGACUCUUAGAAAAUUUUUGAAAUUAAGUAUAGGGAAUCUGACAGCCUUGAUAGUUGCCUUGAGAGGCAUGUUUCAUUGGCUUUUCAGGUUAGAGACCUGGGCCACUGUGUGCCUUCCUGUUCCUGAGAAACUGAUGCACUCUCUCAUACAGUAAAGCAUUCAGGCUGCCUUGUUUCUCUGUGUUCUCUAGAAGUCAAAGCAUAUAGAACCUUUGCUGGAAAAUUAGUCUUAAACAUUAUUCUUGUUUGCCCUGUAUAACUCGAGUGAUUCAAUAUAGCCUGGCAACUACCAUUGUGUUGAUCCUGGCAAUGUCCAUUGUAUUUUGAUUCUGUAAGGGUAUGAAAAUCUAAUUGCUUUCAAUAAACUUGUCACAGCCUCAGUCUUGCUGUGAUCCUUCCAACAUGACCUGGUUAAGUUUAUUUCUCAUUGGCCAUAUCAAGUAACCUUGACUUGGUAUGUGCUGACACUUACAAUGAGGUACAUCAAAAGCUGAAAGAAGCUUCCAUUCAGUAGUUGAAGUGCUGUCAAUGAGAAAUGGUUCACACAGAAUGAGUAGAUUCUAUUUUGCAAACACAUAUUCACUACUGUACAGUAUUAACCUUAUUGUAACAUUAUCAGAGUGAUUAAAUUAUGUAACUGGGCGAAAAUGUGGCUAAUUCCUCCAAACUCAAUGAAACUUUUGUAUCAAUAUUUCUUUUAUAAUAAACAAGUUAUCUUUUAUAAGA